AGUGGUUUACGAAACAAAAAGUUUUGAUAUCAAUUUAACAAGCGUCUCGACAGACUAUUCCGGUACAUACACCUGCACGGCACACAAUGGUAUAGGUGGGAUAACAUCAAAAAGUAUAUCACUUAUUGUAAAAGAAUCAAGAAAAGCUAUGGUUCACAGCAAUGUUUUGGGUCUGGCUAUAGGUAUACUUAUAACUGCGGUUGUGACCUCUGCCAUAGUCAUAUCUUUCAUUAUGUUUUAUAAAAGAAGAAGAGGUGCAUUGUUGGUGACCAGAACAGACGGGAAUGACAAUGAGUAUAAUGGAAGCAGAAACGACGGUAAGAAAAAGAACAAAGCAGUUAUUGUGAAGCUGUUUUUACCUUUAUGAAGGCUUUACAUUUUUUGUUUCAUGAAAGCAUUACCAUAUGUGUUUUAUUAAAGCAUAACUGUAACAAUAUGUAUGUCAUAUAUGUUGAAGCGUUACAAUGCACCUUAUAAAAGCAUAACCAAUGGAUCUGUCAAUUUUAUAAAUCAAUUACAAUAUGAAAGUGAUACACCUUGCGUUUGACAUAGUGUGUCACAGUAUUACACAGUGUUAUGUUCUUAAAUCAAGUCUCCUGAGCAUUGAACUCGCAUAAAUAACACCAUGUAUAUGAAAAUAUAACGGCAAUUGUUUUAUAAAGGAAAAGACAGAUAACAAUGUUAACAAUUUCUCUUCAACUUAAUAAGGUCAUAAUAUUAUAUUGAUGUAAAAUAUAUUUAGUGUUAGCACUAUCUCGUGCACAUUUCCCUUUAUUUAGGAGGAGUGUUAAAAAAGGAAUUUAUCAAUUUGCAAUAAAAUAUUUUAUGACGGAACACAUCUAAACAUUAAACGUUGACGUAAAAAAUGACAUUAAUUACAUUGCACUGAUUUUUCUCCGUUACUUUCAGCUUUAUAUAUUUGUUUUAUUUCUCUUAGUACGAAACAAAUCGAAUAAGCAAGCUCAUUAUAGGCUUCUUGGGAAUGUACAUUUCUAUUUUGAUCAUUUUUAUCACUAAGUUUUCGCUUACAUUUUAAAGAUUUGAAUAGUUCUGUAUUUGUCUCCACAAAUGUA